AUUUAAAAAGAAUUCGUCAUAUUCUGACUAAUGUUAUGUUUACAUUAUACAUGUAUAUGACGGAUAUUUGAUCAUGCAACAGAUGUUUUGACAGUAUUUUUGAUGGCUUUAAAUAUCAUGUUAUAGAUGGAUUUGUCUCCUGUUUUUAAUGCCCAGAGCACGGGCAACACUAGUUAAGGGCUGGAACUGCACGGUCAUCAUCAUCAGCCAAUCAGCCUUCAAGAUGUCUUUUUCUUGUGGUCCAGAGGAACCAUGUGACUUUUACAGCUCAGCUGGAGGAUAAAUCGCAUCUCAUCUACACAAGGAUGAAAACAGUAUGUGUGAUGCAGUUUCUAGCAGCAUCAGUCUGGAUUAAACAGCAUGCUGUGUGAAUCCUAUAAUGCUUCCAGAUAUAUGAGAGCUAUACAAUGUGCACGGCAACAUGUGUGUAUAGUACAGGCUGUUAGGCUGUCACAAACCCAGGAGAGAAGCCAAGUAUACAGCGCAUCCAGCUGAACUGCCAGAUCUUACCGUGUGUAUGUGUGUGUGUGCUCUGUGCAUGUGUGUUGCUGUGACUGUCGCCACUUCUCUGCCACCUCCCCUCCCCUCCUCUCCUCUCCUCUCCUCCUCCUCUUUCCUACCGGCAUCAUCUCUCGCUCUCCAUCAGGGAUGGUGAGAGAAUGUUUAUGGUAAGUGCAGGAAAUCAUCUCUCUCUCUCUCUCUCUCUCUCUCUCUUCCUACAAAUUCUCCCUCCAUUUCUCCAUUUUGCAUUUGAUUUUCUUUGCUGGUGCUGUGCAUCACUACCGGCUUUACUGAGGAUUCAUUCGUCAGCGCGGGAUCCACGCAACCCUGUUCUCCCAUGGACACAAACAUGUUAUGCAUGGAAUUCAGGCCAUGACAACGUCCAUCCCUUGUCGUUUCAGAGCAUGUGCCACGACUCGCACGGAAUGAUGCAGGACUGUCAGCGUCUAAACCCUGCAGACUAAAACAACAUCACAACCCAAAUCAUGCACUUAAGGUGGGCGCAAAGAUGUAGCUGAAGAACGAACGUUACAAAAUCUUGACCAUUCGCAAACUCGGGUCAUCCCUGAAAGGAGCGUGGCCUGUGGCGCACUGCCCAACAUGUCCAAGAAAGCAUCCGGUGGGCGGGGCAAAGGGGAGCAGCCUGCUGCCAUGGCAGCCUUGCAGGCAGCCAAUGAGGAGCUGAGAGCCAAACUCACGGAAAUCCAGAUUGAACUUCAGCAGGAGAAGAGCAAGGUCAGUAAGCUGGAGAGGGAAAAGUCUCAGGAGGUCCGUCACGAGCAACACAAGUCCACAGUGGUGGUGACGGAGUUAAAGGCCAAACUGCACGAGGAGAAACUUCGAGAGCUGCACAGCGUCCGGGAAACGCUCCUACGCCAACAUGAAUCCGAACUGGUGCGAGUCAUUAAGAUCAAAGAUGGAGAGAUCCAGAGACUCCAGGCACUCGUGUCUGCCCUCAGAGAUGGAUCCACUGACAAGGUGAAGUCUGCGCUAGUGGCGGAUGCACGAGAGGAGGCCAGGCGGAGUUUCGAGGGGGAACGCCUGCGACUGCAGCAGGAAAUCACCGAGCUGAAGGGGGUGAAGAGGCAAAUGGAGGAAGCCUUAACCGUGGCCGUGCAAGCGGAUAAGAUCAAAGCCGCCGAGAUCCGCAGCGUCUACCACCUCCACCAAGAGGAGAUCAACCGCAUCAAGAAGGAAUGCGAGAGGGAGAUUCGCAGACUGAUGGAUGAGAUUAAAGUAAAGGAGCGUGCCGUCUGUGGGCUGGAGAGAGAGCUGAGCGCUCAGGCGGGCUACACGUGGAGACUACAGCAGCAGAAACAGGCUGUAGACACACAGCUGGCCCUCCUGCGAGACUCCAGCCCCAGACGAGAGGGCCCUUAUUCACCCGCUACAGGAGAUGCAGCAGACGCCAUAGCUAACCCUGUGCAGCAGUUGGAUGAGAAAGACGCUCGAAGGUUCCAGCUAAAAAUCGCAGAACUGAGCGCCAUCAUCCGCAAACUAGAGGACCGAAACACUCUGCUGUCAGAAGAACGCAAUGAACUGUUAAAGCGCCUGCGAGAAGCUGAGAGUCAGUAUAAACCCUUACUGGACAAGAACAGACGACUGAGCCGAAAGAAUGAGGAACUGGCUCACGCUCUGAGACGCGCGGACAACAAACUGCAGUUCAUCACUCAGGAGAACAUUGAAAUGAGAGAGAAGGUUGGAACGAUCCGCAGGCCCAGUUCUCUGAACGAUCUGGAUCAGAGUCAAGAGGAGAGAGAGAUCGAGUUCCUCAGACUGCAAGUCCUGGAACAGCAGAACAUCAUCGACGAUCUCUCCAAGGCGCUGGAAACAGCUGGAUAUGUGAAGAGUGUGAUUGAGAGAGACAUGCUGUUGAGAUACAGAAGACAGGACAGUCUGCGCAGGAAGAAACCACUCAGAACCUCCCGGCCGGUGAUAGAGACAUUUUUUGGCUAUGAUGAAGAAGGCUCUAUAGACUCGGACGGCUCCUCCAUUUCUUAUCACACAGACCGAACGCCGUGCACACCAGACGAUGACCUCGAAGAGGGAGUGCUGAAAGAAGACACAGAGCAUCGUUUCCGUCAGCUGACGAUGGAGUAUCAGGCUCUUCAGCGGGCGUACGCUCUCCUUCAGGAGCAGGUCGGUGGGACGUUUGAUGCAGAGAAGGAGGUCAAGACUCGAGAGCAGCUGCAGGCCGAACUGAUCCGCUAUCAGACCAGAAUAUCAGAUUUGGAGUGUGUCCUGAGUCAGCAGGGACAGGAUACGAAGUGGAUCGAGGACAAACAAGCUUUGUACAAACGGAACCAAGAGCUUGUAGAAAAGCUUAAACGUAUGGAGACAGAGGAGACGCGGUUGAAAAAUGAAAUUCAGGACGCAAAAGACCAAAACGAACUCCUGGAGUUCCGAAUUCUUGAACUUGAAGAAAGAGAGAGGAGAUCUCCAGCCAUAAACUUCCAGAAUAUUCAUUUUACCGACGGCAUGAGUCCCUUACAGAUCUACUGUGAGACGGAGGGAGUCUCUGACAUCGUGAUCUCGGAGCUGAUGAAGAAGCUUGAUAUUCUGGGGGAUAACGCCGUAAGUAAUCUGACCAAUGAGGAGCAGGUGGUGGUUAUUCAUGCCAGAACGGUACUAACCUUAGCAGAAAAGUGGCUAGAGCAAAUUGAGGUCACCAAAUCAGGAUUACAGCAGAAAAUGUUGGACAUUGAAAGCGAAAAGGAGCUCUUUUGCAAACAGAGGGGAUAUUUAGAUGAGGAAUUAGACUACAGAAAACAGUCUCUGGAUCAGGCGCAUAAGUGUAUUCUUGAGUUGGAGGCGAUGCUGUUCGACACUUUGCAGCGAGAGGAGGCGGGCGGGAAGAUGUCCGAGCUGCUCAGCGAGCAGCGCCGUGAUUCGCUGAGGGAAGCUGUCACUCAAUGGAAGAGGCAGGUCCUCAGCGAAUUACGAGAGAGAGACGCGCAGAUACUCAGAGAAAGGAUGGAGCUCCUGCAACAUGCUCAAGUGAGGAUUAAAGAGCUGGAGGAGUGGAUAGAAACACAGAAACGACAGAUUAAAGAAUUGGAAGAGAAGUUUUUAUUUUUAUUUUUGUUCUUUUCUUUAGCUUUCAUUCUUUGGUCGUAGCUCUUCCAACAAGCAGGAAGUGAUGUCACGUGGCGCUGUGGAUCGCGGUAAUGCAUGCCAACUUCAAGUUCAUUUUAUUAAGUAGGCUUAAGCAAAGUUCAAAUCAUGGACCGCAAGUGUUCCGUCUUCUGUAGCAGAGAAGCGGUCGCAUUUGUUCCAUCACGGGUCCAGCGAUCAAGCUUGUGCUUUUGUAAGACUUUAAACUGUUCCUGUCAAAUCUACACUGGCCACCUGUUGAUCUACUGCUAAUGGAAUAUGGUGCUCUCUAUCUUGUGGACUAAAACUGUUUUUAUCCUUCUGACCUUUUCGAAUUUGCUCUGUGUGACCUCUUGCGUGAGGAAUUUAAGGACUCUUAAAUUGAAACGCUCUCCUUUCCCUGCUAAGCAGGCGGUGCUGGAGGCUGCUUCCCUUUGGAAGCCUAAUGGAACGAGAGGUGUUACGUGGAAACCCUUCCCCCUCAACUGUUUACACGCACUGUGCUUUGGUUCCUGGUGGUACGUCUGGCAUCGGCGUGGUGGCGCUAACCUCCCUGUGCGUUGUGAGAAAUGUGACCGAAAAGUAAAUCUUGGAAUUCAAAUGUUUUAUUUUGUAUUGUAAAGGAACGGUAUUUCAAAAUAAAUUUCUCAGAGGAUUAUGGAAAAGAAUAUGAA